rnacentral:rRNA from 1 species
AUUGAACGCUGGCGGCAGGCUUAACACAUGCAAGUCGAGCGCGCGGCGGACGGGUGAGUAAUGUCUGGGAACCUGCCUGCUGGAGGGGGAUAACUACUGGAAACGGUAGCUAAUACCGCAUACCAUCAGAUGUUCCCAUAUGGUAUUAGCUAGUAGGUGGGGUAAUGGCUCACCUAGGCGACGAUCCCUAGCUGGUCUGAGAGGAUGACCAGCCACACUGGAAAUGGGACACGGUCCAGACGCCUACGGGAGGCAGCAGUGGGAAAGAUUGCACAAUGGGCGCAAGCCUGAUGCAGCCAUGCCGCGUGUGUGAAGAAGGCCUUAGGGUUGUAAAGCACUUUCAGCGAGGAGGCGUUACUCGCAGAAGAAGCACCGGCUAACUCCGUGCCAGCAGCCGCGGUAAUAC